CCAACAUCAGAGGUUGAAUUAUUCCUAUCAUUUGUUAGCCACUUUAUAAAGGUCAAGAAUUAAAACACACUAUGUCUGAUGAAGUUUUUAGCACAACUUUGGCAUAUACAAAGAGUCCAAAAGUCACCAAAAGAACUACUUUCCAGGAUGAGCUAAUAAAAGCAAUUACAGCUCGCUCAGCCAGACAGAGAAGUUCUGAAUACUCAGAUGACUUUGACAGUGAUGAGACUGUUUCCUUAGGUGAUUUUUCUGACACCUCAGUAGAUGAAAAUUCAGUUAAGAAAAAAAUGAAUAAUUUUCACAUAUCAGAUGAUGAAGAAAACAAUUCUCCCAAACUGUCUUUUUUGAAAACCAAGAAAUCAAGCAAUGAUGUGAGGAAACAUGAGCCAGUAGUCUCUAUCAAAAACGAUGACAUUGCACUUGAUAAUGGUGAAGGCAUGAUUGUAAAUCCCUUACCUGAAUCUCAAAGUAAACAACAGGAAGUUGAAAAAGAGAAAAUUAAAAUGGAAACUAAACCUAGAAUUCUUCCAAUCAAAAGUACAUCUUCAGAAAAUAACAGCAGCCUUGAAGCAGACAGCCAAUUUAAGCCUUCACCUCGACCCAGGAGCAUGUUGAAAAAGCACAGCCAUGGGGAGAAGAAAGAUAGCCUAGGAGACAAUAGAGAAACUGUCCCACACGAAGAUUUAGAGGCACAUUCCACACCUUCGUUCCUCCCAAGGCUGAAUGACAGACAGCCAGAAGCUGAGAAGAAUGCAUUCUCUGAAAACCUUGAUCCUGAGGAUCCACGGUUAACAAGUAUACCAUCAUCAUCUGUUAAAGAAAAUCUUAAAGAUUCCUUUUCACUAGGAUCUGAGGAGAAAGCCUCCAUUACAGAUCAGAAUGAAGAACGCACUGAAAGCCAUAAUUCCUUGAAAUCAACCGAAAAUGAAAAGAACUCCUUUUUGAUAGACUUUGUUACUACUGCACUUGAGAAACCCAAGGAAAUUCAAGUGACUGUUGGUGAGGUUGAAGAAGAAAAGGAGAAAGCUGAACUGAUUAUGAAUGAUGACUUAACAGCUGAAGAUCCACCACCACUGCAACUUCAGAGUAUCUUAUGUACUGAGUCUUCAAAGAAAGCAAUUCAAGAUAGAAAUAUGAAGAAUAAAAAAUCAACAAAUAAUAGAGCAUCCAGUGCCUCUAGCAGAUUAAUGACCUCUGAGUUCUUAAAGAAGCCUAGUUCUCUAAGGAGGAUUCCAUCGACAGCUCCAGCUUCUCACUAUUUAGGGACUUUGAGAGUCUUGGACCAAAAGCCCUCACAGAAACAGAACACAGAACCUGACAGAGCAGAUAAUCUAAGGGCAACUGUUUAUCAGGAGUGGUUAGAAAAGAAAAAUAUUUAUUUACAUGAAAUGCACAGAAUUAAAAGAAUUGAAAGUGAAAACUUAAGGAUUCAAAAUGAACAGAAGAGAGCUGCUAAGAGAGAAGAAGCCUUAGCAUCAUUUGAGGCCUGGAAAGCCAUGAAAGAAAAGGAAGCAAAGAAGAUAGCUGCAAAAAAAAGGCUUGAGGAAAAAAACAAAAAGAAAACUGAAGAAGAAAAUGCUAUGAGAAAAGGAGAAGCAUUGCAAGUAUGCAAUAGCUUUAAUAUCUUUCUUAAUUUUAAAUAUUUGAAAAUUAGUGAUUAUCUGUACUUUAACUAUUUUAUUAUAUUCACAUUCAAUAAGAAGGUAAUUCUUAACUUCUUCAGGCUUUUGAAAACUGGAAAGCAAAAAAGAUGGAAUACCUUAAGGAGAAAAAUAAAAAAGAGAAAGAAUGUGAAAGAGCAAAGAAACAGAAAGAGGAGGAAACUGUUGCUGAGAAAAGAAAAGAUAACUUAACUGCUGUUGAAAAAUGGAAUGAAAAAAAGGAAGUUUUUUUCAAGGAAAAGGAAAAAGUAAAAAUACAUGAGAAAAGAAAAGAAGAACUGAAAAGAGCUGAGAAAAAAGAAAAAGAUAAACAAGCUCUCGAGGAAUAUGAAAAAUGGCUG
rnacentral:lncRNA from 1 species